rnacentral:rRNA from 1 species
UACGUAGGUGGCGAACGUUAUCCGGAAUUAUUGGGCGUAAAGGGUGCGUAGGCGGCAUGAUAAGUUAUUGGCGGCAAAUCGAGGCUCAACCUCGUGGAAACUGAUAAUACUGUCUUGCUUGAGUGCAGAAGAGGUUAACGGAACUCCAUGUGGAGCGGUAAAAUGUGUAGAUAUAUGGAAGAACAUCAAUAACGGCGAAGGCAGUUAACUAGUCUGUUACUGACGUUGAGGCACGAAAGCGUGGGGAGCAAAAAGG